GAUCUUUAUCUCAACGGUUUCUCUGGACCCAUCCCGAUUACAUUGGGGAAGCUAUCAAAGUUGAGAUUCCUGCGGCUUAACAAUAAUAGUUUGACUGGUCCAAUCCCUAUGCAGUUGACCAACAUCACAUCGUUGCAAGUGCUGGAUCUAUCAAACAAUCAUCUUUCAGGAUCGGCG